rnacentral:rRNA from 1 species
GAUGAACGCUGGCGGCGUGCCUAACACAUGCAAGUCGAGCGAACGGACGAGAAGCUUGCUUCUCUGAUGUUAGCGGCGGACGGGAGAGUAACACGUGGAUCCCCUCCCUAUAAGACUGGGAUAACUUCGGGAACCCGUAGCUAAUACCGGAUAAUAUUUUGAACCGCAUGGUUCAAUAGUGAAAGACGGUCUUGCUGUCACUUAUAGAUGGAUCCGCGCUGCAUUAGCUAGUUGGUAAGGUAACGGCUUACCAAGGCAACGAUGCAUAGCCGACCUGAGGGGGUGAUCGGCCACACUGGAACUGAGACACGGUCCAGACUCCUACGGGAGGCAGCAGUAGGGAAUCUUCGGCAAUGGGCGAAAGCCUGACGGAGCAACGCCGCGUGAGGGAUGAAGGUCUUCGGAUCGUAAAACGCUGUUAUUAGGGAAGAACAUAUGUGUAAGUAACUGUGCAGAUCUUGACGGUACCUAAUGAGAAAGCCACGGCUAACUACGUG